rnacentral:rRNA from 1 species
AUUGAACGCUGGCGGCAGGCCUAACACAUGCAAGUCGAGCGGAGCGGCGGACGGGUGAGUAAUGCCUAGGAAUCUGCCUGGUAGUGGGGGAUACCGUCCGGAAACGGGCGCUAAUACCGCAUACUAUCAGAUGAGCCUUGGUCGGAUUAGCUAGUUGGUGGAGUAAAGGCCUACCAAGGCGACGAUCCGUAAUUGGGCCGAGGGGAUGAUCAACCACACUGGAACUACGACACGGUCCAGACUCCUGCAGGAGGCAGCAGUGGGGAUGAUGGGAUAAUGGACGAAAGGCUGAUCCAGCGAUGCGGCGUGUGUGAAGGAUGUCUUCGGAUUGUAAAGCACUUUAAGUUGGGAGGCGUUACCAAAAGAAUAAUCACCGGCUAACUUCGUGCCAGCCGCGGUAAUAC